rnacentral:rRNA from 1 species
CCUACGGGAGGCAGCAGUGAGGAAUAUUGGUCAAUGGGCGGGAGCCUGAACCAGCCACGCCGCGUGAGGGAAGAAGGUACAGCGUAUCGUAAACCUCUUUUGUCAGGGAACAAAGGCGGGGACUAGUCCCCGGAUGAGGGUACCUGAAGAAAAAGCAUGGCCUAACUCCGUGCCAGCAGCCGCGGUAAUACGGAGGAUGCGAGCGUUAUCGGGAUUUAUUGGGUUAAAAGGGUGCGCAGGGGGCCUGUUAAGUCAGCGGGAAAAGCCCGGGGCUCAACCCCGGCGUGCCGUUGAAACUGGCGGGCUGGAGUUGGAGAGAGGUACGCGGAAUGCGCGGUGUAGCGGUGAAAUGCUUAGAUAUCGCGCAGAACCCCGAUUGCGAAGGCAGCGUACCGGCUCCACACUGACGCUGAGGCACGAAAGCGUGGGUAUCGAACAGGAUUAGAUACCCGAGUAGUC